UCAGUAGCUCUAUUCUCGUAUCAUUUCUCGGUGACUUAUGACGUUAAUGCUAAAUAAUAACCUACUCUGUAAUAUAAAUACAGCGUACAAAAGUUAUGUUUCUUUUUUUAAGGUUAACACCAUUAAAGACAGCGGUCCGAUAGACCGCAUAAAUUACUAUGUCGCCGCAGUCAGCCACAGUUUCGUACAGCACAUGGCGGCUAGUCGUGGUGAUAAUCAUAUUGGUGAUAUCUGUGCGUGUGUGUGCUCAGUGUUCGCUACUCUAGGGAGUUUCCUUGAUGAAUAUCUGUGUGACAGUUACAUGGAAUAGUUCUUUGUGGUCAGGUUUAUCUCUGGAAAGUGUUACGAGUGAUGACCAGCAUGUUCGAGCAGUUUUUAUUGCUGUACUGUGUGCGAUGUCUUGGAUACACCAGCGCCGAUCAAGGGACAGCAAUUUUCUCAGCUCUAAUUAUUCCAUUUGGAGGUGGUGUACGAGGAUAUGAGCAUACUCAUUCUACGUCUCGAGAUAUGUUCUAACACUUGCUACAAGCGUUCAAAUAAAUGCUGUUAAAUUUCA